AUACGGAGGGUGCAAGUGUUAUCCGGAUUUACUGGGUUUAAAGGGUGCGUAGGUGGAUAGAUAAGUCAGUGGUGAAAUCUCCCGACUUAAUUGGGAAAUUGCCAUUGAUACUAUUUGUCUUGAGUAUGGUUGAGGUGGAUGGAAUGUGUCAUGUAGCGGUGAAAUGCAUAGAUAUGACACGGAACACCAAUUGCGAAGGCAGUUCACUAAACCAUUACUGACGCUGAGGCACGAAAGCGUGGGUAGCGAACAGGAUUAGAAACCCCGGUAGUCC
rnacentral:rRNA from 1 species